rnacentral:rRNA from 1 species
CGGGGUGCAGCAGUGGGGAAUAUUGCGCAAUGGGCGAAAGCCUGACGCAGCGACGCAGCGUGAGGGAUGAAGGCCUUCGGGUUGUAAACCUCUUUCAGCGGGGACGAAGCGAAAGUGACGGUACCCGCAGAAGAAGCACCGGCUAACUACGUGCCAGCAGCCGCGGUAAUACGUAGGGUGCAAGCAUUGUCCGGAUUUAUUGGGCGUAAAGAGCUCGUAGGCGGCUUGUCACGUCGGAUGUGAAAACUCGGGGCUCAACCCCGAGCCUGCAUUCGAUACGGGCUAGCUAGAGUAUUGCAGGGGAGACUGGAAUUCCUGGUGUAGCGGUGAAAUGCGCAGAUAUCAGGAGGAACACCGGUGGCGAAGGCGGGUCUCUGGGCAAUUACUGACGCUGAGGAGCGAAAGCGUGGGGAGCGAACAGGAUUAGAUACCCGCGU